rnacentral:rRNA from 1 species
CUGUUGCGCUCGGAAAUGGGAUCUAUGGUGGCAAACCCACCAGAGAUGACUAGGUCCCAGAGUGAGCUGUUGAACUAGCUACUUGGGUGGUUCGCGAGAGCUGCAGAGGAGGAGAAGAAGUUAUUCGUUCAUGUUCUGUACGGACUAUGGCUGGCAAGGAACAAAGCUAGAGACGGUAAACGGAUUGCUGAGCCACAUGCGAUAAUGACGGCCGUGCUCAUGCAUGUAAAUGAAUGGAAAGAGGUACACCCUGCAGUUCCUAAACUUCCUAAGGUGAUCGAGCAGCAAAGAUGGGAACCCCCGGAGGAGGGAUGGGUGAAGAUCAACGCGGAUGGAGCCAUGGCAAGAAACGGAGGAAAAGGAGGAGGGGGGGCAGUGCUUAGGGAUCAGAAUGGAGCAUACAUAGCGGGAUCAUGUUUCUUUUUCCCUCGGGUAGCUGAUUCGAAGGCUGCGGAGGUUCUUGCAACUAAGAAGGCGCUGCAUCUGGCUAGGGAGUACAACAUCAGGAAGGUGCACUUGGAGUUGGACUGUCAGAUGGCUGUGAAAAUGAUUAAUGACUCCGACAGAAACCUGAGCGGUGUUGGACCGUGGAUCUGGGAUGUGAAAGAAAUGAUCAGCUCUUUUGAGGAAGCGAAGGUUACGUGGGUGCGACGCUCGGCAAAUAAGGUGGCACAUCAGCUAGCGCGGGUAGGUGUAGGUGAUGAAAUAAGCAAUGUUUGGUGUUUGAUGCCUCUAGACUACAUUUUGGAUGUAAUAGUGGAUGAAAUUCCAAACCUUAAUAACUAA